rnacentral:tRNA from 1 species
UCCUUUGUAGCUCAGUUGGUAAAGAAUCUGCCUGCAAUGCAGGAGAUUCAGGUUCGAUUCCUGGGUGGGAA